UGGGUAGAAGCUGGUAGAAGAGGGAUCGCAAGUGGAACGAGAUUAACUGGUUGGACUAAGUGGUGAUGAAAUAUUCGGGGGAGAAAGUAGUGGGGACAGUUUAAGUGGAAUAAGUAAGUGUAUGGUAGAUCUAUACAGUAGUAUUAAAGAAAAUUGAUUG